UGGGGAAUAUUGCACAAUGGGCGCAAGCCUGAUGCAGCCAUGCCGCGUGUAUGAAGAAGGCCUUCGGGUUGUAAAGUACUUUCAGCGGGGAGGAAGGGAGUAAAGUUAAUACCUUUGCUCAUUGACGUUACCCGCAGAAGAAGCACCGGCUAACUCCGUGCCAGCAGCCGCGGUAAUACGGAGGGUGCAAGCGUUAAUCGGAAUUACUGGGCGUAAAGCGCACGCAGGCGGUUUGUUAAGUCAGAUGUGAAAUCCCCGGGCUCAACCUGGGAACUGCAUCUGAUACUGGCAAGCUUGAGUCUCGUAGAGGGGGGUAGAAUUCCAGGUGUAGCGGUGAAAUGCGUAGAGAUCUGGAGGAAUACCGGUGGCGAAGGCGGCCCCCCUGGACGAAGACUGACGCUCAGGUGCGAAAGCGUGGGGCAGCAAACAGGAUUAGAUACCCUGGUAGUCCACGCCGUAAACGAUGUCGACUUGGACGGUUGUGCCCUUGAGGCGUGGNUUCCGGAGCUAACG
rnacentral:rRNA from 1 species